UACGUAGGGUGCGAGCGUUAAUCGGAAUUACUGGGCGUAAAGCGUGCGCAGGCGGGCUUUUAAGCCAGACGUGAAAUCCCCGGGCUUAACCUGGGAAUGGCAAUGGAAACUAUGGGACUUGAAUCUGGCAGAGGGGGGUGGAAUGCCACGUGUAGCAGUGAAAUGCGUAGAGAUGUGGCGGAACACCGAUGGCGAAGGCAGCCCCCUGGGCUGAGAUUGACGCUCAGGCACGAAAGCGUGGGGAGCAAACAGG
rnacentral:rRNA from 1 species